rnacentral:lncRNA from 12 species
GGGCCUGGCACGACGCCUGGCGCACAGCGAGCGCUGAACGAGGCUGGCUGCUUAGGGUCCUUAUUACUCUCCUCGUCCGACUGUCACUGUGCCGCGGGCAGCAGCGUCCCCACAGGGCGGCGGCAACUCCAGCAAACCCUUCUGCUGGACCAAAUUCCUCGCCGGAGUUGUCUAGCUCCGCUCCAGACCCGCCCCCUCCCCCGGGGGGCCGGGGACCGUCGCGGCGGGGACAGGAGGAGACGCUGCGGCCCGGCUCGAGUCGGCUCGGGACCAACGCGAAGGGCCGCCGCAGCCGCAGGGACACCCUCCACCCACCCAGCGCCGGCCGAAAGGCACCUGCAGCGCGGGCUGCGGCCGAGAGCCGCGUCUGCGGAGCUGCACCCGCGCGCGGGCUGUUCGCGCCCCCUCGUGCAUAGGAGGUGCAAAUCGAGCGGCCCGGACCGCAAGCAUCCCUACAUCUUCCCAUCACCCCGUGCACCCAUCCGUCCAUUCAUCCGGAAAAUAUUUAGGGAGCUUUCUCAUCCAUCCAUCCAUCCACCCACACGCUCCUCUAUUCGUUCAUUUAGAUUCCCACCCACCCAGAAAAAUCUACAGAGCAGCAACUUCAUAUCAGAGACUGUGCUAAGCAUUGGAAAUGCAUUGAAAUAUUAAAAAAAAAAAAGGAAAUGCAUUGAAGAUAGACAGGCUUCCUGAUUUUUCUGUUGUUAAUUUCUCGUGGGGAUAUGAGCCAGCGAAUGCAAUAAUUAAAAAUCAUGGCAAGUACUACAAAGGAAAUGGGCAGGGUGGUACAAUGGUGGGGUUCUACUUAGCCAGAGUGGACAGCAAGGGCCUGCCUGAGGGAAUACCAGUGUUUUACAUAGCAUGAUAUCUGUCACUGCAAUGCCCCAUCCCAUCAACAGGACAAAGGACACCACUACUAUAAUGUCAAAUAAUGACUAAGUUUUAAGUACACAUAAUAUUCCAGGAUUUUGAUCUAUUUAACCAUUGUAUCAGUCCUAUAAGGUAAAUAUGAUUAUUAUCUAUUUUGCUGAUGAGGGAACAAAGGCUCAGAAAGUUUAGUUAAUGUGCCCAAGAUCAUGCAACUAAUAUGUAUUAAGAACUGUGCAUUCAUGACCUGAGAGCAAACCCUCGUUGCAAGCUCACCCGUUACCCUACCGUGUCGUAGAUGCUAGCAGAGGUCACAAAAUUCCUGAGUCAGAGUCUUAGGACCUUAUUAUUGUGGCAAAGCAGAGAGAGCUUUAUGUUCAUUCAUGUUGGUUCUGGUGCCUUGUAGGCCCCAUGGGAUGGUGCACAGGGCGUGAUGGCUGCUGCACACACAGUGUGUUUCAAGAGAGGGACACUGAGCUUAGGGGAUUCACUACUCAUCACAAACAGAAGUAACCCUGGUUUUAGUCUGGGAGGAGAGUUUAUCCGUCGUUCAAAAUUGCUCCCUGCAAAACGCAACUCUGAGGAAGGGCUUAGGUAAAGAGGAGUCAAGGCCUUGGAUUCUUAGCAUAUCCAGAAAGAAUAUGCAUAGGUGCUCAGGACCCACGGCAGACUGCUGCCCCUAAGGUAGGCAUCAGAGUUAAAAUUCAAAUCCAGGAAUCAAUCUAAGAACAAUUUAUCGAAUGCUUGAAAAUGUGUUUGGUAAUAUUUAAUUUCUUUUUGGGGGGUAGUAUUUAGUUUCUAUUACUGGUCAGAAAAGUAUAUUUUGGCAUACUUGGAUUAAAAAGAUGUUUUCCUCCUGUAAUACAGACCAUCACCAACCAAUAAUGCCUACGUUGAGAGGCAUUCUCAGAAAACUACGUAUUUUCUUUCUUUCUUUUUUUUUUUUAAACUACGUAUUUUCAUGUGACUCUAGAUAUAUAAGUGGCUAGGACAUUCAGAGUUUGGACCUACUCACUCUUCUCCCUGAUUCCCUGUGGCGCUCUCCCUGUUGAAUUCAACCUUGUUGGGAAUGUCACUUAUGAUGUCCCACCCUCCUCUGACAAAAAGUUGGAUGUGGGACCUAAGCUGGGAAAAUGAUACUUUCCCCCUUGAUUUUUCAUGGUGAGUGUGAGGAAGCAUGGUUUCUAAAGCAGCCUGGAAGCUUGUGCUGUGGAACCAUAAAUAGAGUCAGUCUUCUAUCAAUUUCCAAAAGGUGGCUUCUUGGUAGUGGUGUGUCUUAGCAGGAUUUUGAAGGGCUCCUGUAGAAAGGGGGGAACAGAGAGACAUUCACGGAAAGGAAGAGGAAGACUCAGAAACUGAAGUGGGGGAGAGGUGGGGAAUGAGUAUGUGAAGCAUUUAGGAACUGCAUGGGAUCAUAUCUUAACAUCUCACUGCAUGGCAAUAGAUGAACUUUAGGGCACCUGGAUGGCUCAGUCGGCUAAACAUCUGCCUUUGGCUCAGGUCAUGACCCCAGGAUCCUGGGAUCUAGCCCUGUAUCAGGCUCCUUGCUCAGCGAGAAGUCUGCUUAUCCCUCUCCCUUUACCCCCCCUCCCUGCUCAUGCUCUCUCUCUCUCUCUCUCUUUCUCGCACACACUCUGUCUCUCUCAAAUAAAUAAAUAAAAACUUUAGAAGAGAGUUGAGGA